rnacentral:rRNA from 1 species
GGCGUGCCUAACACAUGCAAGUCGAGCGAGAAAGGGGGGGCAACCCCCUGAGUAGAGCGGCGCACGGGUGAGUAACGCGUGGGUAACCUACCCUCAGGCGGGGGAUAACUACUCGAAAGGGUGGCUAAUACCGCAUGAGACCACGGGAUCUUCGGGUCCUGAGGCCAAAGAUCGUACCGGCUUGCCGGUGCUGUCACCAGAGGAUGGGCCCGCGUCCGAUUAGCUAGUUGGCGAGGUAAUGGCUCACCAAGGCUACGAUCGGUAGCUGGUCUGAGAGGAUGAUCAGCCACACUGGAACUGAAACACGGUCCAGACUCCUACGGGAGGCAGCAGUGAGGAAUAUUGCGCAAUGGGGGAAACCCUGACGCAGCAACGCCGCGUGGGUGAAGAAGGCCUUCGGGUCGUAAAGCCCUUUCGGACGGGACGAACGCUUCGCGGUGAAAGCCGCGAAGUCUGACGGUACCGUAGGAAGAAGCACCGGCUAACUCCGUGCCAGCAGCCGCGGUAAUACGGAGGGUGCGAGCGUUGUUCGGAAUUACUGGGCGUAAAGCGCGUGUAGGCGGCCUUGCAAGUCAGGCGUGAAAGCCCUCGGCUUAACCGGGGAAGUGCGUCUGAAACUGCUUGGCUUGAGUACGGGAGAGGGAGGCGGAAUUCCCAGUGUAGAGGUGAAAUUCGUAGAUAUUGGGAGGAACACCGGUGGCGAAAGCGGCCUCCUGGACCGAUACUGACGCUGAGACGCGAAAGCGUGGGGAGCAAACAGGAUUAGAUACCCUGGUAGUCCACGCGGUAAACGAUGGGCACUAGGUGUGGGGGGUAUCCACUCCUCCCGUGCCGAAGCUAACGCAUUAAGUGCCCCGCCUGGGGAGUAC